CAACACCCAUGCCACCGAUCCUAAGCAGAGAAAAUCCUCAAAAGUUGACAAGGGCUAGGCAAAGUGCUUCUUCUGCAAAAAGCUAGAUCAUUGGAAAGAAAUUAUCCUGCUUAUAUAGCCACCCUUGACCCAAACAGGCCUAAAAAUAAAAAGAAAAAGCAAGUGGUUGUUUCACAAGGUACUUAUAUGAUAACUUUUUAUAAUUUCUCUAUUUAUGAUACUACUAUCUAGAUAUUGGAUACUGAAAGUUCUAUUAAUAUAUAUAAUUUAUUACAGAGACUACAGAUAAGUAGAAAGUUUCGAGAGGGCG
rnacentral:lncRNA from 1 species